UUGGGAAUAUUGGACAAUGGGGGAAACCCUGAUCCAGCAAUCCCGCGUGAGUGAUGAAGGUCUUCGGAUCGUAAAGCUCUUUUAGCAGGGAAGAAUAAAUGACGGUACCUGCAGAAAAAGCACCGGCUAACUCCGUGCCAGCAGCCGCGGUAAUACGGAGGGUGCAAGCGUUGCUCGGAAUCAUUGGGCGUAAAGCGCGUGUAGGCGGCUUUGCAAGUCUGGUGUGAAAUCCCGGAGCUUAACUCCGGAAGUGCAUUGGAUACUGCUUAGCUAGAGGACGAGAGAGGAUAGUGGAAUUCCUGGUGUAGGGGUGAAAUCCGUAGAUAUCAGGAGGAACAUCGGUGGCGAAGGCGGCUAUCUGGCUCGUAACUGACGCUGAGACGCGAAAGCGUGGGGAGCA
rnacentral:rRNA from 1 species